AGCGAACGCUGGCGGCAGGCUUAACACAUGCAAGUCGAGCGGGCACUUCGGUGUCAGCGGCAGACGGGUGAGUAACACGUGGGAACGUACCCUUUGGUUCGGAAUAACGCUGGGAAACUAGCGCUAAUACCGGAUACGCCCUUUUGGGGAAAGGCUUGCUGCCGAAGGAUCGGCCCGCGUCUGAUUAGCUAGUUGGUGGGGUAAUGGCCUACCAAGGCGACGAUCAGUAGCUGGUCUGAGAGGAUGAUCAGCCACACUGGGACUGAGACACGGCCCAGACUCCUACGGGAGGCAGCAGUGGGGAAUAUUGGACAAUGGGCGCAAGCCUGAUCCAGCCAUGCCGCGUGAGUGAUGAAGGCCCUAGGGUUGUAAAGCUCUUUUGUCCGGGACGAUAAUGACGGUACCGGAAGAAUAAGCCCCGGCUAACUUCGUG
rnacentral:rRNA from 1 species